ensembl:snRNA U6 U6 spliceosomal RNA
GCUUGCUCCGGCACACAUAUACUAAAAUUGGAAUGAUACAGAGAAGAUUAGCAUGGCCCCUCGGCAAGGAUGACAUGCAAAUUUGUGAAACAUUAAAAAACAAA